UCCGGGCGGUUCCCCCUUCGGGGGGGACAGGGUGACAGGUGGUGCAUGGUUGUCGUCAGCUCGUGUCGUGAGAUGUUGGGUUAAGUCCCCGCAACGAGCGCAACCCUCGACCUUAGUUGCCAGCAUUCAGUUGGGCACUCUAAGGUGACUGCCGGCUAAAAGUCGGAGGAAGGUGGGGAUGACGUCAAAUCAUCAUGCCCCUUAUGACCUGGGCUACACACGUGCUACAAUGGGCGGUACAAAGGGUCGCGAACCCGCGAGGGGGAGCCAAUCCCAAAAAGCCGCUCUCAGUUCGGAUUGCAGGCUGCAACUCGCCUGCAUGAAGCCGGAAUCGCUAGUAAUCGCGGAUCAGCAUGCCGCGGUGAAUACGUUCCCGGGCCUU
rnacentral:rRNA from 1 species